GGUCAGUCUGAGCAAGCAGGCGCGGGAGGGCGGCGGGGGGGAUCGCACUUCGGUAUUCCGGGCCGUCAAGGGCGCGUAGGCGGCCUUCUAAGUCGACCGUGAAGUCCCCGGGCGCAACUCGGGAACUGCGUCCGAUACUGGAAGGCGUGAAUCCGGGAGAGGGAUGCGGAAUGCCAGGUGUAGCGGUGAAAUGCGUAGAUAUCUGGAGGAACACCGGUGGCGAAGGCGGCAUCCUGGACCGGCAUUGACGCUGAGGCGCGAAAGCCAGGGGAGCAAACGGGAUUAGAUACCCGGGUAGUC
rnacentral:rRNA from 1 species